CAUGCAGUCGAGCGGAUCUUCAUUAGCUUGCUUUUGAAGAUCAGCGGCGGACGGGUGAGUAACACGUGGGCAACCUGCCUGUAAGACUGGGAUAACUUCGGGAAACCGGAGCUAAUACCGGAUAACCCUUUCCCUCACAUGAGGGAAAGCUGAAAGACGGUUUCGGCUGUCACUUACAGAUGGGCCCGCGGCGCAUUAGCUAGUUGGUGAGGUAACGGCUCACCAAGGCAACGAUGCGUAGCCGACCUGAGAGGGUGAUCGGCCACACUGGGACUGAGACACGGCCCAGACUCCUACGGGAGGCAGCAGUAGGGAAUCUUCCGCAAUGGACGAAAGUCUGACGGAGCAACGCCGCGUGAACGAUGAAGGCCUUCGGGUCGUAAAGUUCUGUUGUCAGGGAAGAACAAGUAUCGGAGUAACUGCCGGUACCUUGACGGUACCUGACCAGAAAGCCACGGCUAACUACGUGCCAGCAGCCGCGGUAAUACGUAGGUGGCAAGCGUUGUCCGGAAUUAUUGGGCGUAAAGCGCGCGCAGGCGGUUCCUUAAGUCUGAUGUGAAAGCCCCCGGCUCAACCGGGGAGGGUCAUUGGAAACUGGGGAACUUGAGUGCAGAAGAGGAGAGCGGAAUUCCACGUGUAGCGGUGAAAUGCGUAGAGAUGUGGAGGAACACCAGUGGCGAAGGCGGCUCUCUGGUCUGUAACUGACGCUGAGGCGCGAAAGCGUGGGGAGCGAACAGGAUUAGAUACCCUGGUAGUCCACGCCGUAAACGAUGAGUGCUAAGUGUUAGAGGGUUUCCGCCCUUUAGUGCUGCAGCAAACGCAUUAAGCACUCCGCCUGGGGAGUACGGCGCAAGGCUGAAACUCAAAGGAAUUGACGGGGCCCGCACAGCGGUGAGCAUG
rnacentral:rRNA from 2 species